CUCGAGGUGUGGAGGGCAGAGCCAGGGAGGAGUGAGCAUGUCUUGGGACCUGACAGCCAGGCGGCUGGCACCACCAUCACCGCUAUCGCUGCUCCUGGUGCUGGUGCUGCUGUCCGGAGCUGGGGCUCUGCGUCCUGAAGAGCUCUUUCCUUACCGGGAGUCGUGGGGCUGCCUCGGGAGGGCGACGAUGAAAGCUCCGCGGCUGUGAAGCUAGCAGUACCUCUACGCUUCUAUGGUGUCCAGUUCAGCAACCUCUAUGCUUAGCAGCGGCGCUGCAGCUUCUUGAUCCCUACUGUGGAGGAAUAAGGAUCAUUUCAAGGGAGAGCUGGAACCAUCCCCCUCUACUUCGACUUCCCAGGUGUGCAGUGGUGGAGAAAGAUGAGCGGGUUCGAGAGCAGCCGCACCUGUGGGUCGCAGUGCACUUGAGGACUGUCGCCAAAGUUGAGUUUGUUGCCCUGGAUGUGUCUCAACCUGCAAAGAGGAGGGAAUCUUCUUGACUCGAGUAGAACUCGGACCGUAGCCAUCGCCCCAUUCCUGGCUGACAUCCACUCGAGUCAGAGCAGUGGCCGGAUCCUGUAUGGAGGACACCUCCUGGGCUGUGCUGUGUCUGGCUGCUUGCUACCUGUGCACAGGCUUCCUGCUGACCAGGUCCAGCUUCCCCCCUACCCACUUCUUCCUGGCCACCUGGGAACAAGUGGGCCCCUAGGAGGAGGACAGUCUUGGGGCUGCGUGGUCUAGAGAGAGAGAUGGGACCACAUCACCACUACUACAGAGAGAAGGCCAGGAACAACUAGAGCACCAUCAAAUCCUAUGGGUAAGACAAGCUCUCAGAGGAAAAAAGGAAGGAAGGAUUUUCCACAUCAGCUACCUGUUUCAAACUUCAUGGGUUUGACUUGGAAGACAACUUGGAUGACUGGAGUGAUCUAGAUGGCCCCAAAAAGCCAAGUACAGGAGAAGGAGGAGGUUGGUCAGACAAGGAUCUCGAAGAUAUCUUGGGAGACGGGGAAUACAAACCUGACAAGAAUAAAGUGGAUGGACUGCCAGACCGAAGGCUUCAUGAAAGAACUGUGCUGCUGUGAACGUCAGUAUAUGGGCAUAUAGAAGAUUUCACACAGGCAUAGUUUUUAACUGUCUUGAGUACUUGUGGGCAUUGGCAUCCGCUCAGCAUCUGCUAGAGCCUCUGUGCUGGGUCCAGACAUGGCUCCGUUUAACUUGUGGGUGCCCCUUUAAUACCCGAACAAUAUAUUAUAUAUUGUUUCUUUACUAAUCUCACUGCACUUGCCCAAAAUUCUCCUCCUGAGACUUAACCAGGGAACAGAGUCUCUGCUGGGCUUUUCUGAGACUUCCUUUGCCGGUGCAAUGAAUCUGAGUCUUCACCUUAGCCUCAGGCAGACUCUUCAGACAGGGGCAAAAAGCAGCCACAUUCUUCACCAAAACACCACGAAAACAAUCUCCAGGCCACACACUGAAAUUAUUCUCCCUGAAGCCUCCUGUGCCAGGUCUAUGCAGUUAAAAUCACUCACAGCCACAAAGUCUUCCUGCCAGGAUAGCUCAUUGGGCCCCACUCAAACCAUUUCGUGGCUUUCCAAAUCCAAAGUCCCAAAAUUCACGUUCUUCCAAAUAAAAGUAUGGUGAGGCCUAUCAGUAAUACCCAGGCCUUGGUAUCAACUUCUGACUUACUUAGGGUUUUACUGCUGCGGACAGACAGCAUGACCGAGGCAGCUCUCACAGGGACAACAUGUGACUGGGGCUGGUUUACAGGGUCAGAAGUUCAUUCCGUCAUCAUCAUGGCAGGAGCAGGGCAGUGUCCAGGCAGGAUGGUGCAGGAGGAGGUGAGAGUUCUCCAUCCUCAUCUGAAGGCUGCUAGCAGAGCACUGAGAGACAAC
rnacentral:lncRNA from 1 species